rnacentral:misc_RNA from 1 species
UGAAACAUGCCGCGAAGAACAUUUGUUUCUGCUCAAAAGGGAGUUUACACCCUGUAGGUAGGUGGUUGAAAAGAAAACCUCUACUUCAGCCAUCUGGAACGACUUAAAACACCAAAAAGCACGAGAGAAAAGAACGAACCAACCAUCCACGGUCCUUUUCGAUGUCCUUUUCUUUGGCCUCGUGCCCUUUUCCUAUCUACGUUCGGAGAUAUUAACGUCUGGAUUAUGGAUUUGACGUGAAACAAUGUCACCAGUCGCUGAAUGAGAGAAAAGGACAAUUUGAAAGUUGUCAUUUAGCAUGACCUACAUCAAUCUUUGGAUUAGACGGAUUUAGUGGAAUAACGCCACCAGUCGACUUGACGAAUAAUCCUUUCUUAUCCACAACUGCCAGCCUAAUUUAGGAAUUUCAAAUUUUUACUUAUGUUAU